UCCGGAAAACUUUUACAAUCAAAAAUUGAGGCACAAUCCAACCUUACAUGUCGCACACUCCCACCUGGUUCUGUGAGGAUCCUUACUAGUGCUACAAAAAGCACAUCGUCUAGAUGUCCCAUGUUGUGGCAUAUGCAAACAUUGGUCAAAGCGUUUCUCAAAAGGCA
rnacentral:lncRNA from 1 species